AGAUUCCUAACCCGUGAAGCAAUGAUGUCAUGUUUUUAGGUGUAAGCUGGCUUCAUUCCCACCUCCCCUAGAUAGAGAUGGACAUAACCACAUCACUAGACUCCUUCCAGACCUGAGAUUCUUUGAUGCAAGCUCUGUUCUGGCUCGAGGUGACAAAUGUUGAUUUGAUUAAUACUCUAUGUCCUUAUCUCCAACCUGUCCACUCUUUUGGCAAACUGAGAUCCUCUCAUCUCCUGAAUGUUUCUCUGAUUAUUGGUGAGCAUCAUUUACAUCUAGGAGAAAAUAUGGGAUAAGUCAGGAAAUUAGACCUCAAGAACACACCAAUACUAUCUCACUCCCUGAGUCUUGGUUACCUUGUCAGGAUGUAAAGGGUAAUUUCUACCUAAUGCCUAGACUCUAAUUCUAGGGAGAUACGGAACAUUUCAGAAGUCCUUCUGAAUUAUGCUAAGGUUUUAAGGGGUCAUUAUUUUAUUCAGUUUCUCUCUCCCCCUCCUCCUUUUCCCAUUCUCACUUUACUUCCAUGCAAAGUGCCCGCAUUCCCUUUGCAGAACAGAUGAAAAGCACCAGGCAGCUGAAUGGUGGCAGCUGGCAGGCUAUGCUCAGACAACCUUACCCUCUCUGCACACCAUUUUCUUCUGUGGAAAGUACCUGACAUGACGGGUACGGUGAAGAUUAAAUCUGCCAAUGUGUGUAAAGAGUCAGAACACACAGCGUCCCCUGCAAACAUCAUGGUGCCAACACAGACAUUCACAUCUGCUCCCACCAGUGGAGUCAUACGCUUAAGCCUGAUCACUGCCCAAAAGUUUAAAGGUCACAAGGGCAGAGCAGAAGGCUAUGUGGAUUCUGGCUAUAAAACACCGCCACCAGGAUUUACAAGGUCAGGGAGAAGCAAGAUAGCAGUCAAAGCCAAACAGCCUCAGUGGUGAGAGAAACUAGGGCUGACGCCCACCACAGAACAUCUUCAUGGGACAUCCUGUAAGCCAACCCAACCCAUAGAUUCCCUUGGAGGACCUUUCUCUUUAGCUAAAUAUUUUAGAGCCUAAGAAUCCUCUCACCAACUCCCAAUAUCUAAUGCUUGCACAGAUCUCAGACCUGUGAGAAGUGAUCCAGUGACACACAGACAGAUGGUGCUGGUGUUCGCCUGUGAGGGCCACACAGCCAGAGCUCUAGGCCAUGCUAGGCGUCAAGCACAGCUGACUGUCACUGGGGCAAGGUGAGCUGGGGCCAGGGCUCAACUCAGGGAAGCACCACCGCAGCUGUGACUAAGUUACAAGAAAUGCCAGGCUCACUCUCCUCGCUUUUCUGUGCAGCCACCAGAGUGAGGAUCGGGAGGAGAUGCUGAGGG
rnacentral:lncRNA from 1 species